GUAAAAAUUCAACGACGAAAUUCAAAUUCGCUCUCCACGAAUUCGGAGUUCGUCACCAAAUCAACCUAAAAUCUCGACCCAUUUUCUCUCCCCCAUCACGAAAAUUCGUGAAGGGAAUCUGGCGGCGAACUCCAAUUCCUUGCCAAUUUGGCGACGAAUUCAGAGUUCGUCGCCAAAUCAACCUAAAACCCUGAUUCACCUGUCUUUGGCGAAGACAACGCUUCCCCCUCCCUCUUUGGCGACGGCGACAACCCUUCCCCUCCUUCCUCUUUGGCGACGGAGACAUCUUGGUCCCACCAAAAGCCCACGUACCAACCCUAAUCGCGUCAGAGUCACUCCAUCGGUUGCUUCUAUCCGACGGCGUCGCCAUCUUCUCUCCUUCCACUCCACUCUACUCCGGUCCCAAAUUAGCGAUCGCCGUCGCUCGCCAACGUCCCAGACCAGGCUUCGAUCCGAGGUUGGGCAUAGACGGAGUACUCUUGGCCGGUCUACUUCGUCACUAGGCAUUGGACCUACGACCCUCCCUUUUCUUAUGAUGAAGGAAGUAUGGAAGGAGAAUGAAGUAUUUGCUGUGGAAGAAGAGAAUGAUCUCGUUUUGUAUCUUUUCCUUGUGUAGAGACUUAUCGGAUAUUUUGGGAUAUUUGAUUAUGGAAUAUUUUGUGAAUUUGCUUAUGAGUCUUUUAGAACUUGGUUUGGAACUUGUUGAAUUUUUUGUAUUGGUUAUGUUGUGAUGUGGUUUUGUGUUGUUGAACUUGGUUAAUUGGAUAUUUUGUGUUGUUACUUGGUUGUGGUUAUAUGUAUUGCUUGAUUUGAAAUUA